rnacentral:rRNA from 11 species
AGGCGAAAAGAACCCCUGUGAGGGGAGUGAAAUAGAUCCUGAAACCGUAUGCGUACAAGCAGUCGGAGCGGACUUGUUCCGUGACGGCGUACCUUUUGUAUAAUGGGUCAGCGACUUAUGUUCAGUGGCGAGGUUAACCGUUUAGGGGAGCCGUAGGGAAACCGAGUCUUAAUAGGGCGCUUAGUUGCAGGCUGUAGACCCGAAACCCGUCGAUCUAUCCAUGUCCAGGGUGAAGUUGUGGUAACACACAAUGGAGGCCCGAACUCACGCCUUUGAAAAAGUCGGAGAUGAGGUGUGGAUAGGAGUGAAAGGCUAAUCAAGGCGGGUGAUAGCUGGUUCUCCUCGAAAGCUAUUGAGGUAGCGCCUCGCGUCUAACUCAGGGGGGUAGAGCACUGUUACGGCUAGGGGGGACAUAAGUCCUUACCAAACCGUUGCAAACUCCGAAUACCCUGAAGUUCAAUCGCGGGAGACACACGGUGGGAGCUAAAUUUCAUCGUGAAGAGGGAAACAACCCAGACCGCCAGCUAAGGUCCCUAAAUCAUCGCUAAGUGGUAAACGAUGUGGAAAGUCAUAGACAGCCAGGAUGUUGGCUUAGAAGCAGCCAUCAUUUAAAGAAAGCGUAACAGCUCACUGGUCAAGCGCUCCUGCGCGGAAAAUGUAACGGGGCUUAAGUGAUACACCGAAGCUGCGGAUUCGAUCUUUGAUCGAGUGGUAGCGGAGCGUUCCGUAGGCCGAUGAAGGCAGACCCGCGAGGGCUGCUGGAGGUAUCGGAAGUGAGAAUGCUGACAUGAGUAGCGACAAAGAGGGUGAGAGACCCUCUCGCCGAAAGUCCAAGGGUUCCUGCGCAACGCUAAUCGGCGCAGGGUUAGCCGGCCCCUAAGGCGAGGCCGAAAGGCGUAGUCGAUGGGAAUGCAGUUAAUAUUCUGCAGCUUGGUGGUAGUGACGGAUGCAGUGUGUUGUAUCUCCUUAUUGGAUUGGGGGUGCAGCGAAUGUGUUCCAGGAAAUAGCUCCACUUUAUAAACCGUACCCGAAACCGACACAGGUGGACUGGUAGAGAAUACCAAGGCGCUUGAGAGAACGAUGUUGAAGGAACUCGGCAAAAUACCUCCGUAAGUUCGCGAGAAGGAGGCCCAGUUUCUAGGCAACUAGUGGCUGGGGGCACAAACCAGGGGGUGGCGACUGUUUACUAAAAACACAGGGCUCUGCGAAG